GUGUCAGCAGCCGCGGUAAUACAGAGGUCCCAAGCGUUGUUCGGAUUUACUGGGCGUAAAGGGAGCGUAGGUGGCAUUCUAAGUCUGAUGUGAAAGCUCUGAGCUUAACUCAGAAAUGGCAUUAGAUACUAGUUUGCUUGAGGAUUGGAGGGGAGAUUGGAAUUCUUGGUGUAGCAGUGAAAUGCGUAGAUAUCAAGAGGAACACCAGUGGCGAAGGCGAAUCUCUGGACAAUUCCUGACACUGAUGCUCGAAAGCUAGGGGAGCAAACGGGAUUAGAAACCCGCGUAGUCC
rnacentral:rRNA from 1 species